AUGUGCCUGUUUGUUCCCUCCCAUAAUGCAAGCUUCAUUCCAGAGUAUCUUGUGGAAAACUCACUAAAAGGACACAGGGUUUUUGAAGAAGAAGAAGAAGAAGAAGAAGAAGAAGAAGAAGAAGAAGAAGAAGAAGAAGAAGAAAAAGAAGAAGAAGGGAAGAGAAAAGAAAAGAAAAAAGAAAAAGAAAGAAAGAAAGAAAGAAGAAAAAGAAAGAAAGAAAGAAAGAAAGAAGAAAGAAAGAAAGAAAGAAAGAAAGAAAGAAAGAAAGAAAGAAAGAAAGAAAGAAAGAAAGAAAGGAGGAAAGAAGAGGAGAAGGAAGAGGAGAAGAAGAGGAGGAAGAAGAAGAAAGGAGGAGGGGGGGAGGAGGAGGAGGAGGAGGAGGAGGAGGAGGAGAAGAAGAAGAAGAAGAAGAAGAAGAAGAAGAAGAAGAAGAAGAAGAAGAAGAAGAAGAAGAAGAAGAAGAAGAAGAAGAAGAAGAAGAAAGAAGACGACGACGACUAAGCUGCUGUGCAUGAGGAUUUUUGACUGGAUUUUCCCUCAACGUGCAACGUACAACAGUACAACAGUGGUGUUUCCGGAGGAAACGUGAGACCAAGUGAGCCAAACUCAGGAAAGUUUGGCUUCCAAACUUCCACUUGCCCCCUUCCUACCUACAUCUUUUGCCUUUCUCGUAUUCUCUACCACUCAGGAGUCGGAUGUGCGAUGGAUACAAUGAUGUAUCUUAGUAUUUUUUUUUUACUCGUCACGAUCUUGGGACAUUUGCUUUUUCAAGAGACACGUGUGCCACAUCCAGCUCUGCUCCAGCUGGAUACUGAGCUCUGGGAGCAGGUGUCAGAACACAGUGUGGGCUCUGAACCCGAGCCGGCCACUGAUGAGUUCUGGUGGGCUGAGUCAUCUCAUGGGUUGGAGCGCCGGGAAACAGGAGUUACAGGCUAAGCCUGGGAUGACAUCAUCACCCCCCAGCUCAUACGAGCAAGAGUCUGAAUUGAUUUUUAAACUAUGACAAUGAAUUAAUUCAAUGGAUUUUACGUUUUACUUCAUGCCCAAUUGUUUUUAUUUGAAAAUAUCUGGUAGUGUUUAAAUCAAAUCUGGCAAAUAAAACACCCUGAAACGCAAUGCCUUUUACCA
rnacentral:lncRNA from 12 species